UACGUAGGGGGCUAGCGUUGUCCGGAAUCAUUGGGCGUAAAGAGCGUGUAGGCGGCCAGGUAGGUCGGCUGUGAAAACUCGAGGCUCAACCUCGAGCUGUCGGCCGAAACCAUCUGGCUAGAGUCCGGAAGAGGAGAAUGGAAUUCCCGGUGUAGCGGUGAAAUGCGCAGAUAUCGGGAAGAACACCCGUGGCGAAGGCGGUUCUCUGGGACGGUACUGACGCUGAGACGCGAAAGCGUGGGGAGCGAACAGG
rnacentral:rRNA from 1 species